GAUGAACGCUGGCGGCGUGCCUAAUACAUGCAAGUCGAGCGAAUGGAUUAAGAGCUUGCUCUUAUGAAGUUAGCGGCGGACGGGUGAGUAACACGUGGGUAACCUGCCCAUAAGACUGGGAUAACUCCGGGAAACCGGGGCUAAUACCGGAUAACAUUUUGAACCGCAUGGUUCGAAAUUGAAAGGCGGCUUCGGCUGUCACUUAUGGAUGGACCCGCGUCGCAUUAGCUAGUUGGUGAGGUAACGGCUCACCAAGGCAACGAUGCGUAGCCGACCUGAGAGGGUGAUCGGCCGCACUGGGACUGAGACACGGCCCAGACUCCUACGGGGGGCAGCAGUAGGGAAUCUUCCGCAAUGGACGAAAGUCUGACGGAGCAACGCCGCGUGAGUGAUGAAGGCUUUCGGGUCGUAAAACUCUGUUGUUAGGGAAGAACAAGUGCUAGUUGAAUAAGCUGGCACCUUGGCGGUACCUAACCAGAAAGCCACGGCUAACUACGUGCCAGCCGCCGCAGUAA
rnacentral:rRNA from 1 species